rnacentral:rRNA from 1 species
UGGGGAAUUUUGGACAAUGGGCGAAAGCCUGAUCCAGCAAUGCCGCGUGUGUGAAGAAGGCCUUCGGGUUGUAAAGCACUUUUGUCCGGAAAGAAAUCCUUGGCUCUAAUACAGUCGGGGGAUGACGGUACCGGAAGAAUAAGCACCGGCUAACUACGUGCCAGCAGCCGCGGUAAUACGUAGGGUGCAAGCGUUAAUCGGAAUUACUGGGCGUAAAGCGUGCGCAGGCGGUUUGCUAAGACCGAUGUGAAAUCCCCGGGCUCAACCUGGGAACUGCAUUGGUGACUGGCAGGCUAGAGUAUGGCAGAGGGGGGUAGAAUUCCACGUGUAGCAGUGAAAUGCGUAGAGAUGUGGAGGAAUACCGAUGGCGAAGGCAGCCCCCUGGGCCAAUACUGACGCUCAUGCACGAAAAGCGUGGGGAGCAAACAGGAUUAGAUACCCUGGUAGUCCACGCCCUAAAACGAUGUCAACUAGUUGUUGGGGAUUCAUUUCCUUAGUAACGUAGCUAACGCGUGAAGUUGACCGCCUGGGGAGUACGGUCGCAAGAUUAAAACUUAAAGGAAUUGACGGGGAUCAUAGCUG